UUGCAGUUAAAAAGCUCGUAGUUGGAUGUUGUGGUUUGUUAAAUUCGAUGCCUUUUGGUAUUCGUUUUAGCAGCCACUUUUUCUCGAGGCAUAUAGGUGCACUUAACCGUGUGUUUAUAUUGUUCGGGACUUUUACCGUGAGAAAAUUAGAGUGUUCAUAGUAGGCUAGUGCUUGAAUAUUACAGCAUGGAAUAAUGGAAUAGGAUCAUGAUCUUAUUUUGUUGGUUUCUAAGAUCAAGAUAAUGAUUAAUAGGGAUAGUUGGGGGCAUUAAUAUUUAGUUGUCAGAGGUGAAAUUCUUAGAUUUACAAAAGAUUAACUUCUGCGAAAGCAUUUGCCAAGGAUGUUUUCGUUAAUCAAGAACGAAAGUUGAGGGAUCGAAGAUGAUCAGAUACCGUCGUAGUCUCAACCAUAAACUAUGCCGACUAGGGAUUGGUGGUCGUUAAUUAAUGUCACCAUCAGCACCUUAUGAGAAAUCAAAGUUUUUGGGUUCUGGGGGGAGUAUGGUCGCAAGGCUGAAACUUAAAGGA
rnacentral:rRNA from 1 species